CUCACACCUGCAGCCAGGCUGCAAGAUUAGCACGCAGAGAACACCUCCCCAGGGAAGAGGGAUUCUCCUCAGUUAAAACUAAAUGAAAUAAAACAACGCCUGAAAACGUGCUGGGAAAUCACCCUGAAAACAAGAAGCACAGCCCCCGAUAAUGGUGAUGGAUGGACAGACAGACGCACCUCCAUCACAGCGCCCAUUCACCCAGCGCCACACAGCAGCCGGUCCAGCAGCAUCCUGGUGCAGAGCUCAACCAGAGAGCAACCAGUUAAUUACCACACCGUCAUUAAGGCCUUCAAGUGUAUGUUUCAUUAGUGCUGCAUAAUAAAAUAAUUGCAGACAUGGGAAGGGAUUUGCCUUUUUCUUUUCCCCUAUGAGAUUGUCCUACAGAGAAGCAGCAUUGCGUGGAGAGCAUCAGUAAGCACAGGGAUGCGCACUGCGAUGGGCACAGGACUGCCCCUCCAGACUGGUUCAGCCCCUGCAACGCGGUGGCGGAGCUGCACGAAGAGGAGCAGCGCUCAGUUCCAACUCCCAAAGGAUAAAGCCUCACCCAACCGCUCGGGGCUGCGGACCAAAGGCACCGUGAGCAUCUCACCCUGAGAUGGGUGGGGGUGAACCUUCCUCAGGAUCGCCGGCAGUGGGCACAUCCUGAAGCUGUCAGUUUGUAACUUUCCCACUGGAAAACGCGGUUCCAGCGCUUCCAGCCCUGCAGCAGCUCAUGCCACAGGAGAAGCCUGCAAUGGACACCUCCCUACAUCCAGCCCCGAGCAGCAGGAGAGGAAUGCUCAUCUGGAAGGUGGUUUUGUCAAUGGCUUCCCUCAUCAUCACAGAGCUGCCGGAGCCCACAGCCCUGUCCAGAUGGGAGCACACCUGGAACGCACAGGUCUCUGCCUUUCAGAUCCUGGCCCAAGAAGCCACCCUACUCACUCAUUUUGUGCUAACAAGGAGCAGCACUCCGGGCAGCACCAGGCUGCAGAGACCCAGCACAGCCUCUCCUGACCCAGCCAAGGGCACCCAGCACCCCAGCAGCCUCCCAGCAGUGAGCCUGGAGGAAUCCGAGUGUUUGGGAAGGAAAGCAGAGCUACAGAGAGACAAUGUUGAAUGUAAAUAUCAGUUAAAUAUGCAUUACCAUA
ensembl:lncRNA